rnacentral:tRNA from 1 species
GCCAGUGUGGCUCAGCAGUUAGAGCAUUGGUCCACGCACCAAAGGGUUGUAGGUUCGAUUCCCGGUCAAGGGCA